GUUCCGUAGGUGAACCUGCGGAAGGAUCAUUACUGAGUGAGGGCCCUCUGGGUCCAACCUCCCACCCGUGUUUAUUAUACCUUGUUGCUUCGGUGAGCCCGCCUCACGGCCGCCGGGGGGCAUCUGCCCCCGGGCCCGCGCCCACCGAAGACACCUAGAACUCUGUAUGAAGAUUGCAGUCUGAGCAAAAACUAAAUAAGUUAAAACUUUCAACAACGGAUCUCUUGGUUCCG
rnacentral:misc_RNA from 1 species